AACGUAGGUUCCGAGCGUUAUCCGGAUUUACUGGGCGUAAAGCGCGCGUAGGCGGCCCGGUAAGUCCGCUGUGAAAGUCAAAGGCUCAACCUUUGAAUGUCAGCGGAUACUGCCGGGCUAGAGUCCGGAAGAGGCGAGUGGAAUUCCUGGUGUAGCGGUGGAAUGCGCAGAUAUCAGGAGGAACACCAACGGCGAAGGCAGCUCGCUGGGACGGUACUGACGCUGAGGCGCGAAAGCGUGGGGAGCGAACAGG
rnacentral:rRNA from 1 species